AAUGAAUUAGUUAUUUCAAAGCCGCGCUGAUUUUAUUCAUUAUAAUUGGUUCAUCAUCGAGACUUUACUGCUCUUUGUGCAAGUUUCAUCAAGUUUAUUUGAGCCAGUAUCGUGACAACACUGUGUGCUAUUCUACUCAUUCACGAACAAGAUUUGUGGGGUUUCAUAUUAAAUUUUUUGUUUGACACAAGUAUGUUAGGUAUGAGUGAGAUGGACAAUAUUUAUUUCACGUAUAUGACUUUGUCAAGCAAUCGUGCGGUACCGGUAGUUUCAAACAAUGUCGGGGGUAAUAGCGUGUUAGGAAUGAAUCCAAGUGUAUGUUUUUUUAUCAUUUAUACUAUUUUUCAACUAUUAAUUAUUGCAAACAAUUUUUCUUGUUCUUAGUAAAUUUUUUAUCCUCAUUUGUAUGUGUGUACUAAUUUGUAAGAUUCAACUCUUAUUAUGACUAAACAUAUAAAUGAAUACUAAAAUAUUUCCAUACACGUGCAAUGAGCAUUACAUUUUUACUUUUUCCAUUAUUUGCUACAGUUUCCAAGUGACAAUAAUCUUAUAACUAACUGGACUUUCGAAUAAUUCAAAUUUAGUAGAUCUUACUCAUACUACAGAAACUGACAGGGAACCGAGUCACAUUUUCCAUCCAACACAAUUUUCUUAACAAGAUUCCACAAAAAUAAUGUUGAUUUAUUUUAUGAUUUUUUUUACAAUCAUUUUUUUUACAACUAACUAAUUUAUCAACAACAGACGCCUGCGCUUUUAGAAUGGUUAAGUAAAUCUCAAAAUGGUCUGUCUGUAAUAGAGUAUUAUAACGAACCAAAGUUAUUAAUACCUAAUUUACGAAAUAUAUUAACACGAGAAAUAUUACGCCGAGAACAUAAUUGUAAACCAGAGUGUACCACACUGCCAGCAAGUCGUUUUAUAGAAUUGGCUUAAGAAAUUUGUCAAUUAUUUUCAAGUGAAACUCCAGCUAUUUAUUACACGCCUCACAAAGCCUUGGAUUCGGGAGAAGCAGUCAAGGCUUAUGGGAAGUUGCAGUUUCAUAAUGAUUAUUUAAUUCGUGAGCGGAAUAUUAGAAAAGGAAAACUAAAGCUUCUAGCUCGAAGUGCUGAUGAAGAUGAAGAGAAUAUACCAAUUUCGAAUAAAGAAAGUGAAAAUUUGGAAUUUUUAAAGAAAUACAUUGAACCGUGGGAUCAUGUUGGAAAACUUUGGAAGCUAACGUUCCAUGAAAGACAAACUUUAUUUGUGACAUUAACAAUUGCAGAAUAUUAUUAUCUUUUUCCUUGUUUGAAACAAGAAAAAGGAUAUUUGUUGAAUUGGAUUUUGAUGUAAAAUAUCCUAAAAAGAAAAACGCUUUUUCAACUAAGUGGCCAAAAGUACGAGAUCAACUUGUGAAGUUAUUUCGAAGUCACAGACAAACCAUAGAUUUAUGUUUUGCAGCAGAAGCAAAAAAACUGCAUUAACUUAGUGAAGACGCUUUAGAUUCAGUGGCGCUGAUACUACUCUCAAAUGCGUUUCCUGAACCAUCAUUCUUAUUCAAAAAUACUGGCUCUAAGAAUAAAAAAAGAAGUAAAAAGUUAAAAACUACAAAUUCUUCGACAGAAGCGAAUGAAGUACUUAAAAAAUGAAAUCCGUCUAAAGCAGAAUCACGUGGAGGCUUCAUUCUUCAUGUGAAUGCAGAAAAUGAUGCACUCCCGAGCAUUAGUCGUCUCUCAAAUACACUAGCGACAUAUGAAUUACAAUUACAACCUAGAUCCAUCAUUUCUGGAGCUAUUGAUGAUGUCAUUGCUGCCCAUAUUUUUGUGAAUAAAACGCAAUACGAUUUGGAAUCAACAAUUCGAGCAGUUGCGGUUUGCUUUAAAAUAUAUUUCGUUUUACACGCAUUUUAUCCACCUGAAGCCAAAUCAGCUUGGCUGUUUAUACAAAAAGCAGUAUUUGAUUUGAAAUCAUUACAUGAUGGUAAAAUUCCGACUGCAGUAUCGGAAUUUUUGGAUGAGAUCAAUGUAAACCUCAAUUAAAAUUUAUUUAGUUUUUCAAAAUUUUGCCAAGUUCUAAUUAUUUUAACUGGAGAAAAGACUAUUUUUUUUUCUUUCAAAGCGAGUGCGAAUUUAAACUCCAGUUGAUGAUAUUCGUAUAGUUCAUUAUGUUUAGUUUUGUAAUAUUUCAUCAUUUUUAUGAGCAGAUUUUAAUAUUGCUAUUGUGAUAAGAAUUCUAGAAUUUCAUUAAUAAUGUCAUUUAUCUGUAAGUGUUUAAAAACUUUCAAUAUUGGUGUUGCUUUCACUAAGCAUUGUCAUAACGAGCAUACACAAGACUAUUCAGCAAAUUGUUUUCAAUGCUUAGGUGCUUGUAGUCGUAAAUAUGAUAAGUUAGAUGUAUUUCGAAAGCAUUUGUGAAAAAAUCAUCAAUUUCAAUGUCAUUCUACUAAUUUACUCACAGUAAGUAAUGAAAAUAAUGCUGACCUUGAAAUCAACAUCAAAACAGAAAACAAUAUAAAUGUUAAUGACAAAGUAUUUCCGAGUAAUACAGCUAAAUUUCCAUAUAUGUCAAAUAUUUAAAAUGAUGUCAAUUCUAAUUAUAAAAAAUAUUCUAAGAACGUUGAACAAUUAUCAUUAAUCCAAAAUCAAGUAUCACAAGUCGAUGCUAGAUUAGCUAUUACGAAUUAUGUUUAUCAAUUAGCUGCUAAAUGGUACUCUGAUAAUAAUUUAUCUCGAAAAAACAUUCAAUCAAAUAUUGAGGAUGUUGGAAAUUUCUUUAUUGAUGCUACUAAUAUUUUAUCUGAUACUGUAAUAAGUUUAUUUAGUAAGAACAAUAUUCCUAUUUCAAUUCAAACAGAUGUACAAAAAAUAUUUUCUGAUAUUCAGAAACCAUUUAAUAAUGCAGUUAGUGAGUACAUAAGCUUGAAAAAAUUUCGUGAAUCUGGAAAUUUAAUAGCUCCAGAAAAUGUUCUUCUUGGCACUAUUUCUGGGUCUAGAAUGAUCAAUGGAUAAUCACAAAUAAUUGCUGAAGAAGUAUUUGUUCAAUUUAUUUCGAUAAGACAUGUUUUACGUAUUUUUUACGAACUGCCUAAUGUUUUUAAAAAAACCCUUCUUUACAUGAAAUAUGUUAA